ACUGCAGAGACGCUGGGAGCCCCGCCUGCACGUCCAACACCCCAGGCUCUGGCCCCAAGGGGUCUCGCCGCCAGACUUCAACCCCUGCCUCCUGCCCUCAGGCUAAGGUGCCGCUGGCCGAGGUGCGCCCCGACGCCCUGCCACCCCACCGCCCUCUAAGCCGGGAGCUAGCCGAGGUGUGUGUAGCUUAGCGUGCUCGGAAAUCCGACCCUGAGCUGGGGGAGGGGAAGUGCGCUUGGAGGUGCGACUCACAGUGGGGCCACUGGACCGAUCUUUGAAGUGCCGGCCUCAGAAAGGCCAGCAGCCAGCUCCAGUUCAUUACAUGAUAACCGGCGAAGGGGAGGAAGCCUGGCAGGCAGGAGCCGCCACUCAACUGCAGAGGAUCCUGAGCCCCCACUGAAAGCAGAUCCCCGAGUGUUGGAGCAGAGGGAUAUCCUUUCACGGGAUGAGGCCACUGAGACUAUGUGACAAAAAUGGCUUGACCAAGGUAACACCAGAGGUGCUCGUGACAGCUGCUCCCAUUACUGACCACUUGGGUGUGUGUGCAGCAACAGCCCAUUUCACCCCCAAACCAUCGGCUUCCAGGACAGUAUACCCCAGAAAAUAUGGGUGUCCCUACCCAAUAAAAGGGCCAGGCCUCAGGCAGGCAGUGGAGAGUCACUGAUGGAUCUGGAAGGAACUGAAGCUGAAAGGCCAGCAGUCAUGGGACACGCUCCACAGUUAGGCCCUUGCUAACUGCUGCUGCUCUCUGAUACUGAAUCCCUUUGUCUAAAGAAGAAAAAGCCAGUAGUCAGGUGAACAGGGAGGCUGUGUCUGAAAAUGCGCUGAGGAAUCCUGGGAGCUGUUAUCUUAUUGAUCAAGGUCCAGCCAUUUGCCAAGAGCGGCUAAUUCUUGGACAGCUGAGCAGCGCACGGCUGACUUGGCCACACGGACUCAUGG